rnacentral:rRNA from 1 species
CCUACGGGGGACUGCAGUGAGGAAUAUUGGUCAAUGGGCGCGAGCCUGAACCAGCCAAGUAGCGUGAAGGAUGACGGCCCUACGGGUUGUAAACUUCUUUUAUAAAGGAAUAAAGUGAGGCACGUGUGCCUUUUUGUAUGUACUUUAUGAAUAAGCAUCGGCUAACUCCGUGCCAGCAGCCGCGGUAAUACGGAGGAUCCGAGCGUUAUCCGGAUUUAUUGGGUUUAAAGGGAGCGUAGAUGGGUUGUUCAGUCAGUUGUGAAAGUUUGCGGCUCAACCGGAAAAUUGCAAUUGAUACUGGCAGCCUUGAGUUCAGUUGAGGUAGGCGGCAUUCGUGUUGUAGCUGU